rnacentral:lncRNA from 1 species
AAGCUUAUUGGUUGAAAACCUCAAUGAAGACUCUAUUAUUUUUCAAAGACGUUUGUAUGAUUAUGUUUCAUUUAUAAAUGGAAUAAAAAACAUAGACAUUAAUGAAAAAAUGCUAGAUGCUGUGAAAGGAUCUAGAACAAGAUGGAAACAUGCAUUAGAAGACCCCCUCCCCCCCAAAAAAGAGAAAAAGAAACGAAAUACUAUGUACAUACUCUUGAAAUCUUUUUGUUAUUAGGCAAAGACCCUUUUUCUACUAUUGCCAUAAUUUUCUUUUAUGAAUAAUAACAAUGAAGAUUUGAUGUAUUUAUUUAUCUAGCAUUUUCUAUGGUAUUAGGUUGAGUUAAUAAUAACUUUUGCAUAGAAAAUUGAAAGUGCAUGCUAAUAGAAGUGAAUUCUGCCAAAAGGAAUGAAAUUCCACCUCAUGCAUUUUGUAAAAUCAACAGAAAUUUAAAUAAAGGAGUGGGAGGUUUAAUCUCAGUGCUAAGUCACUUAAUAAUUUAUAAGAGCUUCUCGUCAUAAUAAGAAUAUAGAGCUUUUUGAAUGAAAGCCUGUGUUUACAAAAAUGUCAGAUGAAUAUAGCUCCCGAACUAAGUGCUUGUAUCGAUAAUUGAAUUAGGAACACAAGCUUUAGGUGUGUACUUUGCACUUGCAUUUGUGAUCAAUAACAGUGUAAUUAUUUAUCACUUUUGUUUUUUUUUAUGAUUUCAUUUGAAAUUUAAAAUCUAGUCAUUAUCGUAAAUAACA